AUUUAUAUAGUUUAAAAAAAACAUUACACUUUCAUUGUAAAAACAAAGAAACCUUUUAUAAAUA
rnacentral:tRNA from 1 species